rnacentral:rRNA from 1 species
AGUGAACGCUGGCGGCAGGCCUAAUACAUGCAAGUCGAACGGCAGCACAGCAGAGCUUGCUCUGUGGGUGGCGAGUGGCGGACGGGUGAGGAAUACAUGGGAAUCUGCCCAGUCGUGGGGGAUAACGUAUGGAAACGUACGCUAAUACCGCAUGCGCCCUACGGGGGAAAGUCGGGGACCGCAAGGCCUGACGCGAUUGGAUGAGCCCAUGUUCGAUUAGCUAGUUGGCGGGGUAAAGGCCCACCAAGGCGACGAUCGAUAGCUGGUCUGAGAGGAUGAUCAGCCACACUGGAACUGAGACACGGUCCAGACUCCUACGGGAGGCAGCAGUAGGGAAUAUUGGACAAUGGGGGCAACCCUGAUCCAGCCAUGCCGCGUGAGUGAAGAAGGCCCUCGGGUUGUAAAGCUCUUUGUCCGGAAAGAAAGCAAUCGGUUAAUACCCGGUUGUCCUGACGGUA